rnacentral:rRNA from 1 species
GGCUCCCCGUGCCUCAUCAAAUGWGGAGUCGGACCUGCCCAGUGAAAUUUUUCAACGGCCGCGGUACUCUGACCGUGCAAAGGUAGCAUAAUCAUUUGCCUUAUAAUUGAAGGCUAGUAUGAAUGGUUUGACAAGAGUAUGACUGUCUCUUUACAAUUAAUUAGAAUUUUAUUUUUAGGUGAAGAAGCCUAUAUAUAAUUGAAAGACAAGAAGACCCUAUCGAGCUUAAAAAGAGCUAAUAAAUUUAAUUUUUAAUAGUACAUUAACUUAGUUUAUUACAAAUUUUAGUUGGGGCGACUGAGGAACAGACAAAGCUUCCUUUAUACUAGGAAUUAGACCUACAAGUUUUGAUCCAAAAACUUUGAUUAAAGAAAUUAGUUACCGUAGGGAUAACAGCAUUAUCUCCUUUGAGAGUUCCCAUCGAAAAGGGGGUUUGUGACCUCGAUGUUGGACCAUAAUAUCCUAAAGAUGCAGCCGUAUUUAAGGGUUGGUAUGUUCGACCAUUAAAAUUCUACGUGAUCUGAGUUCAGACCGGCGUGAGCCAGGUCAGUUUCUAUCUUCAAUUCUUUUAAUAACCUUAGUACGAAAGGACCAGAUUAUUGUAAAUACAAUUGCUAAUAUAUAGAUAAAAUAUAAUUAACUUAUUAGAGAUUAAAUUAAAUUAAAUUUCAUAUCAGAUUAGCAAAGAUAAUGCAAUUGACUUAGGAUCAAUAGACAUAGGUGAAACCCCUUUAUUUGAUAAAUUAUCUUAAGUAAAUAUAAAAUAAAGGUGGCAGAAUAAA